rfam:Bombyx mori DNA, contig: Bm_scaf20_contig14338, strain: p50T/Dazao, build 2, whole genome shotgun sequence.
UUAACUCAAAUUGUAUGGCGUUGGAACUUUAUCCUACGUUUGCCGCUAGGGGCGCUGUUCCAACUGCAUACAAAUUUGAGUCA